rnacentral:rRNA from 1 species
CAAGAGCGUAUAUUAAAGUUGCUGCGGUUAAAAAGCUCGUAGUUGGAUUUCAGUCUAGGAAGGUUAACUCGCCGAAAGGUUGUACGUUGAUUUUCCUCAGACUUCGUCAGAAGCUCGUGCUGCACUUAACUGUGUGGUACGAUGUUCUGACCUUUUACCUUGAGGAAAGUAGAGUGUUUCAGGCAGGCUACCCAGCUUGAAUACAUUAGCAUGGAAUAAUGAAAUGGAUCUCGGUUCGAUUUCGUUGGUUCUAGAGCUGAGGUGGUGAUCAAUAGGAACAGGCGAAGGUAUUCGUACUUGAGAGUGAGGAGUGAAAUCCGAUGAUCUCUUAAAGACGAUCCGAGGCGAAAGCAUUUGUCAAGGAUGUUUUCAUUGA